rfam:Oryza sativa (indica cultivar-group) chromosome 4, whole genome shotgun sequence.
AAAAAGACAAAUCAUAGGUUUUUUUUUUAUCAACAUUUGAUUGUCCGUUUUAUAUGAAAAUUUUUUAUAAUUUGUAUUUUCGUCGUUGUUAGAUGAUAAAACAUGAUAAAUACUUUAUGCGUGACUUAUCUUUUUAAUUUUUUCAUAAUUUUUUCAAAUAAGACGGACGGUCAAAUGUUAGACACGGAAACCAGGGUUGUCUUUUUU